UAGGGAAUCUUCGGCAAUGGGGGGAACCCUGACCGAGCAACGCCGCGUGAGUGAAGAAGGUUUUCGGAUCGUAAAGCUCUGUUGUUAAGGAAGAACGAGUGUGAGAAUGGAAAGUUCAUGCUGUGACUGUACUUAACCAGAAAGGGACGGCUAACUACGUGCCAGCAGCCGCGGUAAUACGUAGGUCCCGAGCGUUGUCCGGAUUUAUUGGGCGUAAAGCGAGCGCAGGCGGUUAGAAAAGUCUGAAGUGAAAGGCAGUGGCUCAACCAUUGUAGGCUUUGGAAACUGUUUAACUUGAGUGCAGAAGGGGAGAGUGGAAUUCCAUGUGUAGCGGUGAAAUGCGUAGAUAUAUGGAGGAACACCGGUGGCGAAAGCGGCUCUCUGGUCUGUAACUGACGCUGAGGCUCGAAAGCGUGGGGAGCGAACAGG
rnacentral:rRNA from 1 species